GGCGGGUCGCCCCGCAUUGCAAGGUCGUGAAUCUGGUCAGGUCCGGAAGGAAGCAGCCACAGCGAAUUCUGGCAAGUGCCGGGGUAACGGCUCGCCACC
rnacentral:SRP_RNA from 1 species